GGGUGCUGAAGUCACUGUCCGACAGUGUGGGAAAUUUGGCUGGAGGCUUACCUAAUAACCUACUGAACCCAAUGCAAACACACCCAAAAAGCAACAAGUAUUUCAACAGAUUACCUCUUACAAAACAGGGGCCGUUGGACACUCAUCUGUGUCAGCGGAAAGAGGAUGGGACACGAUCCUCGGAGGCCGCCAGCAUUCCCGUCCGUCCCAUUACAAACGAUGUCCCUAUUCGUUCCCAGAGCGGGAAGAGGAGAAAAGUUCACGACCAGACGUAAGAGAGGAUGAUCCCCCCUUGGCACAUGGUCCUGAAAUGUACAGGCUUGUUUAUUGUAAGAAGCUGACUCUAACCCCGUGCCAGAGUUCUUGCACAUUCAUUUAUCUGUGACACUUCCUUUCAAAAUGGCUUCCUGGUCUUGGGAUGUGAAUGUAAACAGAAAGAAAGGGAGAGAAUCUGGGUAAUUGGAUGAGGACUUUUCUCUUGUGCCUCACAGUGAUAAGAGAGCUGGAGAUAGGGUAGGGCUUUGUUCCAGCGAAAUGUCUUUUGCAAACCUUUCAAAUGCUCUCUCCGAAGAACCAUUUGGAAAUCAAAUGAAUCCUACAAGCCCAGCUCACUGGUUUUGCAGUGAGGUGUUGGCCAACGUAAUUUGCUUUACUGUUGACGGCAUUGGCCAACUUUCAAAUGUACCUCAGUGCAUCUCACACGGACAGCUUUUUUGACUGUUUAUUUCAAGCAGCUGGCCACAGUAUUUGUCACUACCACAUUCGGAACCCCGCUGUCCCACCAGCAGUUAAAAUGUGUGUAGCCAAGAGCCGAAGCACAGGGAUUUCCACAUGCAACAACACAGGAAAAUAGAGAACAUGGUUUUAGCAAGAUGCCCUGUGAAGUGACCUAUGGUCAAUCUUAACUUUGCAAUGAAUAACGACUGUGUCAGAAUGAAAGCAUUGGGGCUUUUUCAACGCAAAAAAAAAAUACAUAUUCAUGUGUUGUCCCAAGAGGAAAAAAGGAGAUUAGUAGAAUAAUAUUCUCUGUCAGAGAAAUGUCCUGGCAAUUUGACAAGUGGUUUGGCUAAAACCAGCCACCACAUGUUUGUGUUAUGAAUUGUUUUCAAGGCCUCCCUCCAUACUAUGCCAAGACGUAUGACAAAUCUAUUACAUUUCUCUGAUUCUGAAAGAAG
ensembl:lncRNA